UUUGGGUCGUGUGUGUGUAUAUAUAUAUAUAUAUAUAUAUAUAAUCGUUAGGCUAAGCACUUGGAAAUCACAUCUUUCCCAUCAGUUAUUAACCGAAAGUGUCUGAUAUGUGCAGAAACUGCUUUUCCAUCCUCACGGCCACCAUACGAGCCUAUGCUUUUUUCAAUGAGAUUGCAUCUGCCCUUUGCUCAUAUAACAAACGUUGUCUUUAUUAAUUGUUGCACAACUUUGUGAUCGUUGUGAUACUCUGCCAUUAUUCGUGAGAGUAAAACAUAAUUCAGAUCUUGCUCUGUUUUCUUGACUGAAGUUACUCUUGUUACUUUGAAAGUGGCUAGUAAGUGUCCUGCUGACUCCAACUUCUGGGAAAGGCAAGGCCGUGCCUCAGAAGACAAAGUUAGACAUUGUUAAGUGUCAGGCUUGUUAUCAUUAACCCUCUCGUGGUCCUUUGACGUCACUAAGUGCUCCCAUGCAGAUGCAAUCUUUCUACCUGCCUCUGCUGGGACAUAAUUUAAGAAUAAAACAAAUACUGAACUGAGUGUGUGUGGAAUCAAAACUUAAUGUACCCAGGGAAGAAAAUUUAACCUAACACAGGGAAGAAGAAGUCAUGUUUCCUGAAAUCCAGAUUCAAGGGUCUGUACCUGUACAGUACUGGACAUAUAAGAAAAAAAGAUGAGAAUUGUACAUGAAUCAAGCAAAAAUAGACAACAAUGGUCAUGAACUAGUGUCUUGGGUUGAACUUAAGCCACAGGCAAAAUUUUGUUCAUUGAGACAGUCUCAAGAGAACUAUUGGGAAAAUUUUUGUAGUAGCACUUGCAGUCGUAGCAGUAGAACUACAGUGUUAGAAUAAUAUGUCGCUUUACUGGAGUAACAUUUCCUUGGACAGUGCAGAACAGUGGAUUUUCCACUUUUCUCCCAGUGCAGUAUAACCCUAAGUACUGUAUUCAAAAUUAUUGGGCAUACACUUGUUAUAGAAUGUAAAAAUGUUACUUUACUACAAAUUAUAUAUUUUUUUUAUCUAAUAUACACCUUAAGGUAUCUAAGGUAUUACAGUGGUCUUAAUGAGUUCACAAAAAUGUUUUUUUACAGUGAAUCUGGUGGAUCAUAUUUACCAUGCAAAUCUGUAAACAUUACUGUACCUUACUCCUUAAAAAAAAUAUCCUGGAUAAAAAAUUGCCAUUUCAUAGAAUUCCUUCUAUGUCAAGCACCAUAUCAGACUCAGUCUUCAGCAAUCUGCACCAAAAAGAAAGAAAUGUAAAAAAAAAAUCAAACUUCCAUUACUUCCCUACUGAUCAAUAUUGGUCUAGAUUAGUGUUUUUCAUUUAGAAUUAAAAUUCAUAUUUAUUUUCAUAAAUGCUAUAUCUAAACAACAAAAUGUUUUGAGAUAUGUGUACUAAAAAUCAAUUUACCAAAUAUUCAUUUCUCAUUUGUUUGGCAUCAUUUCACAUCAAACAUCACAAGUAGGAAAUUGAUUGAAAAUAUUUUAUACAUUAAAACAAGUCAUCCCACACAUUUCAGAAGGGACACGUUCUUUAAAAGUUACUUGUAAUUUGAAUUUCACCUGAUGAAUCUUUUUAAUAGUGGGGGGCGGGGGAGGUAUCCCAAGAAAAAAUAUUAUCUGAAGACCUAAUAAAAUCAUAUUCAAGAAAGUAGUGAACCUAUUUAAAUUCAUUUAAUGGAAAAAUCUUACUUUUAAUAUUUUAUUCAUAAUACUGUACAUCAGUCUCGAAUUCAACUUCCCAGAGAUGAUGAUGAUGAUCUGUGUGUGUGGUGGUAAUGCAUAUCUGGUGGUGAAAUUGGAGUAAGAAUAUUGUAAGGGAGAUGGAGGAGCAGUGUGGUUAUCUGCCUCACUGUAUUUACGUCAUACUGUCAUAACACCUCCAGUUUUACAUCCAAAGUAAUAGUUUUAUGGGACCUUUUAAUACUAGGUACUGUUGCCAAUUGCACUUAGUCCUUGAAUGACGGUGGCACACUGCUCAGUCUUGAAUGUGAUAAGUGUGAAAAGUGAGAGCCAAGUCAACAACUUGUUCACAUCAAACAGACAAAGCUACAACUCCAAUUAAAUGGCCUGGUAAGCUCCUUAUCAAAUACAUGUUAAGACAGAUCAUACAAAAAAUUUUAUUUUGGGCAAAAAUUUUGGUCAUGUAUCCCAGGUUUAGUGGUCUUAAUAUACAAGUUAUGUUUGUACAAAAUUCUGCAGCCUGAAUAUUUGUAAUGCAGGGGAUGACUGUACUGCUGUAGUUUAAAAACAGGUUUAUUGUUAUAUUAAAUAAAUAAUAAAAGGACAAAAAUGGAAAGAAAAAUUAAUAUCUUAGUUAUACUGUGCAGUACUUACACCUACAUGGCAACUUUUGCAUGUUAGUGAGGUAGUCAUGUUAGAAUACCUAUCAGAUAUUUCAGGAUUUAUAGACAUUUUAAUUAGUGGUGCACUGCUGAUAAGUAGAAGUACAGUAUCUAUAAAUGUAAAAAAAUUAGGUGAGAAUAGUUACUGUAUACUAAGUUAUUCCAGUUAUUUUCAUAUACCUGUACAGAAAUCUUAACAUAUUUACAGCCCUGUACAUUCUUUCUCCAUAAUUCUAGCAAGGUGACUUGUUUUUAAGUAUUAAUCAAUUCCAUUUUUUAUAUUUGUAAGAUAAUUGUACAGUACUUAAUAGCUGUACACCUUAGUACAGUACAAUGCAGAACUACACUGAGCAUUUACAAAUUCUGGAACACAACACUGUCUUGUCAUGCCUUGCUGAGUCAUGAUGGUCUCACCACUGACAUUAUACAGUACAAUGUUAGCUCCAUUGUUGUUAUUUUGAUAUCAAUUUAAUUGGAAUAAUAUUACUAAUGUGAAAUCCUCAGUCUGAUCCUCUGAUGUUCCAGGUGUGUAAGUGUUUGGCAAUUCAACUCACUGCAGUAUUACCUCUGUUAACAAAGCUCCUUUAUAAUGAAGUCCACAAAAAAUAAUCUACCAUUUUAAUAUGAGAAGUAUUUUUAAAUCACAUAAAGUUAAAAAUAACAAAUUUUUUGUGUGCAUUGUGAAAAUUCCCAUUUUUUCUCUAUUUUAAGUUUGUGUUCAUAUUUCACAUUCUGUCAUCAUUAGAGAGAAAUGUUUUUUGGGGGAGAAAUAUUCUGGGAUGUUCUAGAAUGUACCAGAACAUGUGUCAGUGUUGGUUAAGUCUAGUUUUAAAGUUGCUCACACUCGGUGCUAUCACAACAUUCUCUGGCAGGUUACUACAACAGUUCACAACUCCUACUCUCUAUAUUCUCUGGCAGGUUAAUACAACGGUUCACAAUUCUUAUGUCACAUACUCAGACAGUUUUACAAGAAGUUAGCUCUUAUAAGUUUCUGUACUUCAGGCUGUGAACUUUAAUGCAAAAAGGCCAUUAAAGGUUUUUCACCACUUAUGUACAGGGUCCCCCUCCGUUUAAUUUUUUAGAGCAACAUUAUUUUUAGUAUGUUUCAUUAAAUAUGUUUUUAAAGGUUUAAUAUUAAACAAAGACAAUCGAUCAGCUGAUAAAAACAAAGUUUCUCCUGCCCUCAAUAGAUGGCAGCAUGGGCAGGCGCGUCAUCAGCUUGCGAUUAUCACAUGAUUCACGACACCCCUAGUUCUAUUGUUUCAUUAGUCACCUUGAGUCUGGACAACUGCAGUCCAGGAAGCAAUAGUUCACUCAAGGUGAGUUAUGAUUUAAAAUGUUUAAAAAUGAUGUCCUCAGGCAAUUUAAAUAAUAUUUUUUGUUUGUACUUAAUGAUGUUUUCCUAUUAUACCCCUCUUAAGUCUUGGAAUGGCAUCCCUAUGCCUUCUAUGUUAUAUCUUCCUCUGGUAAAAAAAUUUCUGACUUUAACAUAGGUAUUACUGUACUUUAGUGGGAGUGAAGAGUUAUACAAUAAGUCCUCGUUUAACGUUGUCCCCGACAAAGUCGUUUCGUUAUAACGUUGCUACUCUUUAGAUACCCAUGAUUCCGACAACGUCCCAACCGAUUCAGUAUUACGUCGUCACGGACUGCUUUGUAUGGCGCAUCACCCUCUCUCAUCUUGGCGUGCUACGCUCUCGCGAAGCGUCACAGCGUCCCCAGUCUUUGUUAGGCUUCCACAGCUUACACGCGUGCUUAAGUGUUUUUGCUAUAAAUACUGUACUGUAACCAUUCAAAAUGGCUUCCAAGUGCCCAUCAAGAGUAAGUGAUGCUAGUGUUGUGAAAAAGCAAUGCAAGACCAUUAGCCUGGCUACAAAAAUGGAGGUUUUAAACCCACCAUAAACUCACUCCACCUCUGCCCAUCAGUGAGUACAAUACAAAAUGAUUUAGUUUAUUUAUCUUUUUGGAUGUAUAUAUAUUUUCUAUAAAAAUUCCAUUGAAUUUAUGUAUAUGUAAUGUAUGUUAUGGGGCAAAGGAAGGCUGGGGAACAUAACUCCCAUAUUUUAUCCAUUUCUUGUGGGGAAAAAUGAUUCAGUUAACGUUUUGUUAUGUCGCGGUUUUCAGGAACGGAACCACGACGUUGAGCGAGGACUUACUGUGUGCACAACUCUGCUUUGGGCAAGUUAUUGAGUGUUGGAAACUCUCAUGAUAUUGACGAAGCAGAGUUGUUUUCAGAAUUUCGAGUACUAGAACUCAUUACCAAAGAAACAAAAAAUCCACUUGAAGUCUUUCAAUUUCUAAAAUCUCUCGAUGGUUCCUUCCCUAAUGCAGAAACUGUGUAGGAUUUUGUUGACAGUCAGUGACAUCAGGAGAGCUAAUUUUUACAAAAUCAAAUUUAUAUAAAGCUAUACUGUAUCAGGACAACUGUCAAGAGAAGUUGAGUGGACUAGCUAUGCUCUCCGAAAAGGAAAUGACAGCAAGUUUGUGCUAUCAUGAACUGAUAGAAGAGUUUACUGGAAAGAAAGCAGGGAAGAUUAAAUUUCUUAAGUAUCCAGUAGGCUGUUAUUGCAACUUCACAAAUGCUUUAUGAGAUGUAAUAGAAGAUUAAAUUAGUUUUUAGUUAUAAAUUAUGUUACCGUGAAAUUUUUCAUUACAUCUAGACUGUCUUACGGUAUUUGUCUUGUUUAUGUUACAAUAAUAUAUAAAAUGUUUUAUUUUCCGUGUACAGUACAGGUACCUGUAUAUGCAACGCAUCAAUGGAAGGUGCAUGUCAAAUUCACUUCCGCUCACCAUGGGCUUUGCACAGCAGCUCCAAAUAAGACAUAUUUCAUCACUUCACACUAUUCACCAAUACUCAAGACAACUCUCCAACCAUGCUACAAUGAAAGUUAAAUGUAAGUACAUUCUUCUGGUAUUUUUCUUAUAUUGAUUAACCCAUUUAUAAGGUGACAAUGGAUAAA